ensembl:misc_RNA Y_RNA Y RNA
GGUGGGUCCAAGUGCAGUGAUGCUUACAACGAAUUGAUCACAACCAGUUACAGAUGUCUUUGUUUCUUCUCCACUCCCACUGCUUCAACUGACUAGCCCAAU